rnacentral:rRNA from 1 species
AACGAACGCUGGCGGCAUGCCUAACACAUGCAAGUCGAACGAGACCUUCGGGUCUAGUGGCGGACGGGUGAGUAACGCGUAGGAAUCUACCCUUAAGUUGGGGACAACCCGGGGAAACUAGGGCUAAUACCGAAUAGAAACUCUUAGGAGGAAAGCUGGGGACCGUAAGGCCUGGCGCUUGAGGAGGAGCCUGCGUACGAUUAGCUAGUUGGUGAGGUAAAGGCUCACCAAGGCGACGAUCGUUAGCUGGUCUGAGAGGAUGACCAGCCACACUGGGACUGAGAGACGGCCCAGACUCCUACGGGAGGCAGCAGUGGGGAAUCUUGGACAAUGGGCGCAAGCCUGAUCCAGCCAUGCCGCGUGAGUGAAGAAGGCCUUCGGGUUGUAAAGCUCUUUUGUCAGGGACGAUAAUGACGGUACCUGAAGAAUAAGCCCCGGCAAACUUCGUG